rnacentral:rRNA from 1 species
AAUGAACGCUGGCGGCAGGCCUAACACAUGCAAGUCGAACGGAUCCUUCGGGAUUAGUGGCGGACGGGUGAGUAACGCGUGGGAACAUACCCAAAGGUACGGAAUAGCCUCGGGAAACUGGGAGUAAUACCGUAUGUGCUCGAAAGAGGAAAGAUUUAUCGCCUUUGGAUUGGCCCGCGUUGGAUUAGGUAGUUGGUGGGGUAAUGGCCUACCAAGCCGACGAUCCAUAGCUGGUUUGAGAGGAUGAUCAGCCACACUGGGACUGAGACACGGCCCAGACUCCUACGGGAGGCAGCAGUGGGGAAUCUUAGACAAUGGGGGAAACCCUGAUCUAGCCAUGCCGCGUGGUCGAUGAAGGCCUUAGGGUUGUAAAGAUCUUUCAGGUGGGAAGAUAAUGACUGUACCACCAGAAGAAGCCCCGGCUAACUCCGUGCCAGCAGCAGCCGCAG